UACGAAGGGGGCUAGCGUUGCUCGGAAUUACUGGGCGUAAAGGGCGCGUAGGCGGCCCGCUAAGUCGAACGUGAAAUCCCCGGGCUCAACCCGGGAACUGCGUCCGAUACUGGCAGGCUUGAAUCCGGGAGAGGGAUGCGGAAUUCCAGGUGUAGCGGUGAAAUGCGUAGAUAUCUGGAGGAACACCGGUGGCGAAGGCGGCAUCCUGGACCGGUAUUGACGCUGAGGCGCGAAAGCCAGGGGAGCAAACAGG
rnacentral:rRNA from 1 species